ensembl:lncRNA
GCCAAUUUCAGAUAUAGCCUACAUAUUUAAAUGCAAUUAAUAUGCACCAAUAGGGCUAAUCUUGAGAGUUUUAAUUGUUAGUCAGACAAUAACUCAGAUAAAUUCUAGUAAUUGCACUAUUUUUGUCGGUUUGAAAAGUUGUAUUUAUAAAGAUGAGCCGCAUCCAAAUUUAUGAACUAAAUUCCCGGCCACUAGUACAAUAGUGGGAGUGACCACUGGCUGCACACUUCAGAAUCCCAGCAGAUGCAGGCUACGUCAUGAGGGUAUUACUCACCUACUGCAUUAUGAAUAGUGGCUAUCUGGACAUCCUACUCAUUUGACGAGGUGCAGGCAAACACUGACUAACAUUUAUUGAUAGACUGUCCAGCCCAGCUUUCAAUCAAGCCAGAGAGUCACGGCGGCGCCGACUCUUCAUUUCUGGUGUGUGCGCUCCCACGGGUCACUCCAAACCCAAGAGAGGGAGGUCUGCCGGUGCUACUGCUAGUCCAACUAACGGUGCCACGCGCGCAUAUAAUAACACGAGCGGGGACGAGCCUGCUUUUCUCGUCUUGAGCAUAGAGAAGAGUGACGGAUCAGCGUCGUCUGAGGUUAGAAAAAAUGAAGGGGAUUUGGAAAUCAGCGUGUUGGGUCUCUGGACUGACGAGGAUUCGAGACUGACAGGAUACAGGGACAAAAAAGAGCCUGAAGAACGCCAGGUUGUGGCUAGAGAGCUGAUACUGCAGCCAUGGGCAUCAGAACAACCCUCGUUUAUUGCAGAGUUGUAGCGUCUCACCCAGUCCCUCACCACAACAGAGAUGGAAAUCACACAUCUACACACUCUCCUGUUCACCCACAUGUUUUGUGCAUCAACCACUGGAAGGGCAAACGGGGUUGUGUGGCCCUAUAGUCAUUCAGGGUGUUAGGUUCAUCGGUUUGACCCCGGCAGUCGAGGGAGUCGAGAGCCUGCAUCUAUUAAGAAUCAUCGGGCUUGGUUAGACUGGAGAAAUCCACACCAUCAUGCAUGCCUCGUGGGUAAUGUACAACACAGGCUGCUUGACAUUAUGGAACUCUCUGGGCCACACCAUGGUUGAUGUUGGGCGUAUGGAUUUGGAGAGUGCUGAAUGGUGCAUAUUAGAAAGCUGGAUUAAGGAUGGAACUCUCAGAAGGAUCAGUCAGCUCAUUCUGACCAUUGAUCUGCAGUGGGCGGGGUUUGAGGUGGGUGGUGUCGAAGAGGAGGUGGUGCGUUUCUGGUACAGUGUACUUGAGAGCCCUCCACAUCUCAGGACUCCAACUCAUGCAUUCAGCACAUGGCCCGGGACACAUAGUGCUGAGACACAAACUGGCCCGCUCUCACAGCUCAUACACACUCAGCUGGAUGAGGACAAGCCAGUAGCCUAGAUAACCAACUGCAACAUCACUGCAAAAGACACUUAGAUGCAGAAGCAAAACUCUUAUGUGUCCAAGAGUACUUUAAACUAAAACAGCAUUGUUUAAUGAUGUUGACGUGUUGAAUACAUACAAACAGGCAAGACAUUUUUAAGAGGUAAAGUUGCAUAUUAGUAUUAUUUUGUUUCUUUCCACAGUCUAAGAAGUGCCGUCUAGUGGUUGUGAACGGUACUGCAAUGAUUAAAUCUAUCACGCUGUGAUAAUCCUUUAACAGCCAUGUUAAAUUAACGUCAUUUUUAUACAACAGGAC